rnacentral:lncRNA from 1 species
CCUCAUUUCGUUCGCUGAAUAGCUCUAAGAGUGUGAACAACCCCAGAAGGAAAAAGAGUGCUGUUGUUAAAGGUAUCUGGCAUCGUGGACCCAACCAUCACCAGGAGUUUCUCACUUCAUCUCUGCUUUAUUGUAGUAUAAUUUGCAUACAAUAAUGGCACACAUUUAAUGUGCACAGUGUGAUAAAUUUUGACAUAUGUAUACAUCCAUGAAGCCGGCACCACAAUCAAGAUAAUGAACAUCUCGCUUACCGCAGAAGUUUCCUGUGCCCUCUCACUCCUCCGUAUUCCUCCAUCCUCAGGAUUUCAUCAAAUGGUCUGCUGCACUGUGCUGGAAUUUUGAACUCCCCAGAGUAGUAAACAACAUCUUCUCAAGGGUAUACAAAUCAUCAGAUAGAGAAAACACCCAUUAUAGAGCUGUGGAGCCCUUACGAUAUAGUGCUAUGCUGCAACAAAGUAGACAGAAGAGUAUUUGUUGAAUAAUAAAAGAGUCUCACUCUAUUGCCCAGGCUGGAGUGCAGUGGCAUGAUCUCGGUUCACUGCAAGCUCUGUCUCCUGAGUUCAAGCGAUUCUCAUGCCUCAGCCUCCUGAGUGGCUGGGAUUACAGUUUUCCAAUAAUAACAUAGAAAAAAGGAAGAAUUUGAGAGUUUCUCAGAUUAGGCAAUUCCUUGAAGAAUCUGAGAACAUAGAAGCUCCCCUCCCUACUUUCCAUGAUUGAAAUCAGUGAUUCAUUGGUUUCUUUGUGUGGGCUUUUGAAAGAUCAUUAGAAACCAACAUGAGGAUCAUGAGAUUCUUGUGCACACAGGAGCAAUGAAUGGCAAUACAGUGCAUUCUAAUGCAACCUACUUUAAAAGGUAAACAGA